UUGCAAGGUAAGAAUCGCGGGCCUGUCUGCAAGACUUGAGUUCAGGACUCCCAAUCCUUCGCCAUCCGAACCUGGAGGGCAUCCAGUCGACACCUACAGGGGUCGGACAUGUCCAAGGCUAACUGAGAGGCCUUCCAGACGCUUCAUUUUUGUUGUUUGGGUUUGCGGCAGGGCACAAAGAGGAUGGCGGGUGAAAAAGUUGAGAAGCCAGAUACUAAAGAGAAGAAACCCGAAGCCAAGAAGGUUGAUGCUGGUGGCAAGGUGAAAAAGGGUAACCUCAAAGCUAAAAAGCCCAAGAAGGGGAAGCCCCAUUGCAGCCGCAACCCUGUCCUUGUCAGAGGAAUUGGCAGGUAUUCCCGAUCUGCCAUGUAUUCCAGAAAGGCCAUGUACAAGAGGAAGUACUCAGCCGCUAAAUCCAAGGUUGAAAAGAAAAAGAAGGAGAAGGUUCUUGCAACUGUUACAAAACCAGUUGGUGGUGACAAGAACGGCGGUACCCGGGUGGUUAAACUUCGCAAAAUGCCUAGAUAUUAUCCUACUGAAGAUGUGCCUCGAAAGCUGUUGAGCCAUGGCAAAAAACCCUUCAGUCAGCACGUGAGAAAACUGCGAGCCAGCAUUACCCCCGGGACCAUUCUGAUCAUCCUCACUGGACGCCACAGGGGCAAGGUGAGAGUACCUGUGCUUGGGGCGCUUCACUGCAGCUGCCUGGGGUGCCUGGUGGCAAUGCGUUUGCACGCUAGGUGUACUUUGCCUUUAUUUACCUAUGUUUGGGGCAAGGGGAAAU
rnacentral:sRNA from 1 species